UACGUAGGGCGCAAGCGUUAUCCGGAAUUAUUGGGCGUAAAGAGCGCGUAGGCGGUCCGGUAAGUCGGUUGUGAAAGUCGGGGCUCAACCCUCGGAUGCCGAUCGAUACUGUCGGGCUAGAGUCCGGAAGAGGCGAGUGGAAUUCCUGGUGUAGCGGUGAAAUGCGCAGAUAUCAGGAGGAACACCAAUUGCGAAGGCAGCUCGCUGGGACGUAACUGACGCUGAGACGCGAAGCGUGGGGAGCAAACAGG
rnacentral:rRNA from 1 species